rnacentral:rRNA from 1 species
GGCCAGACUCCUACGGGAGGCAGCAGUGAGGAAUAUUGGUCAAUGGUCGGGAGACUGAACCAGCCAAGUCGCGUGAGGGAAGACGGCCCUACGGGUUGUAAACCUCUUUUGUCGGGGAGCAAAGAGAGUCACGUGUGACUCAUUGAGAGUACCCGAAGAAAAAGCAUCGGCUAACUCCGUGCCAGCAGCCGCGGUAAUACGGGGGAUGCAAGCGUUAUCCGGAUUUAUUGGGUUUAAAGGGUGCGUAGGCUGUGAGGUAAGUCAGCGGUGAAAUGCCCCCGCUCAACGGGGUGAAGUGCCAUUGAUACUGCCUUGCUGGAAUGCGGAUGCCGUGGGAGGAAUGUGUGGUGUAGCGGUGAAAUGCAUAGAUAUCACACAGAACACCGAUUGCGAAGGCAUCUCACGAAUCCGCGAUUGACGCUGAUGCACGAAAGCGUGGGUAUCAAACAGGAUUAGAUACCCGGGUACU